rnacentral:rRNA from 1 species
GGGCGGUUACCGUCGGACUGCCGGAGAAGGCGCCUGAGAGAUAGCGACUAUGUCCACGGGCAGCAGCAGGCGCGAAACUUACCCACUCGAAACUCUCGGAGGUGGUAAUGACCAGUUUCAGAAUUAGGCAUAUGUCUAUUUUGAAUAGGGGUCCGCUUUUCCAGCGGAUCGAAAUCUAGCAGAGGGCCAGUCUGGUGCCAGCAGCUGCGGUAAUUCCAGCUCUGCAAGUUUGCUCCCAUAUUGUUGCAGUUAAAACGCCCGUAGUCUGAAUUUUCCCGCAAGGGAAGUAUUCCUUUUGGAGUUCACUGUGAACAAAACAGGACGCUUAAAGUAGGGUUUUCUUGAAUGAUUAAGUGCAGUAUGAAUUUUUUACCUUUUGGUAAGAUCAAUGAGAGCCAUCGGGGAUAAAUCUAUUACAUGGCGAGCGGUGGAAUGCUCUGACCCAUGUGAGAGAAACGAAAGCGAAGGCAUUUAUCUAGAGGGUUUCUGUCGAUCAAGGGCGAGAGUAGGAGUAUCCAACCGGAUUAGAGACCCGGGUAGUUCCUACUAUAAACGAUGCCGACAGGGGCUAGUUAUUUUAGAAUAGCUGGACCUUAGGAGAAAUCAUAGUUCUUGGGCUCUGGGGGAACUACGACCGCAAGGCUGAAACUUGAAGGAAUUGACGGAAGGGCACACCAGGGGUGGAGCCUGUGGCUUAAUUUGAAUCAACACGGGGAAACUUACCAGGACCAGAUGUUUUUUGUGACUGACAGGCUUUGGGUCUUUCAGGAUAUGACUUUUGGUGGUGCAUGGCCGUUGGUGGUGCGUGGGUUGACCUGUCUAGCGUUGAUUCAGCUAACGAGCGAGAUUAUCGCCAAUUACCUAGGACAAGUUGCUUUCAACUUGUUCUUCUAAUUGGGACUCCCUGCGAUUAAGCAGGCGGAAGAGGGUAGCAAUAACAGGUCCGUGAUGUCCUUUAGAUGCUCUGGGCUGCACGCGUGCUACAAUGUUAGUCUCAAUGGGAUGCUAAGUCGAUAGAUGUAGCUACUCUGCGAAUGUCUAACGUAGUUGGGAUUGAUGAUUGUAAUCAUCAUC